GACGAACGCUGGCGGCGUGCCUAAUACAUGCAAGUAGAACGCUGAAGGAGGAGCUUGCUUCUCUGGAUGAGUUGCGAACGGGUGAGUAACGCGUAGGUAACCUGCCUGGUAGCGGGGGAUAACUAUUGGAAACGAUAGCUAAUACCGCAUAAUAUUGACUAUUGCAUGAUAGUCAGUUGAAAGGUGCAACUGCACCACUACCAGAUGGACCUGCGUUGUAUUAGCUAGUUGGUGGGGUAACGGCUCACCAAGGCGACGAUACAUAGCCGACCUGAGAGGGUGAUCGGCCACACUGGGACGGAGACACGGCCCAGACUCCUACGGGAGGCAGCAGUAGGGAAUCUUCGGCAAUGGGCGGAAGUCUGACCGAGCAACGCCGCGUGAGUGAAGAAGGUUUUCGGAUCGUAAAGCUCUGUUGUAAGAGAAGAACGAGUGUGAGAGUGGAAAGCUCACACUGUGACGGUAUCUUACCAGAAAGGGACGGCUAACUACGUG
rnacentral:rRNA from 1 species